rnacentral:lncRNA from 1 species
AGCGGCCGGGGAGGGAAGGGGCCCGUGAGCGACCGGGACCGACGGCCGUGGCCCCCCACGGCGAAAUCUCGAGCGAAUUGAAUGCGGCGUCGUCGUGAUCAGCGAUCAGAUCACACCGGUGCCGGUGCCGGUGCAGUCGUGCAGGCAGGCAGGGAGAGCAAAGGCCGUCGCGUCGCUGUGUAUCUUGACGCACAUGCAGUGCCGCCGAGGGCAAAGGAUUCGGCACGCGUCGCGUACCGGGCGCAGAGGAACGUGCAAGCGUCCGACCGACGACGCCGCGGGAGGAGAGGUCUCGCAUGUGGCCUAGCCUUGCUGGAGCACAGCACGAGGAGGGGCCCUGCCCCGUCACCGCGUCAGGUCAGUGGUCACAUACACGGCUAGGCGUACCCUACGCCACCUCUUGGCACGCCCGGUGGGUGGAGUGAACUGAAUGCUGUGGCUGUCAGCCUGUGGCUUCUGUGAUCUAUGCCCCUAAUUAUAUGUAUACAUGUGCUGUGCUAGAUGGUGCCCCGCUACACCUGUGAUAAUUAUAUGCACACGACUCCUGUCAUAAUCCACAUGAUGCGCGCAGACGAACCUUCGUGAAACAGAUGCGUUAUGCACAAAAUAAAACUAUUGUGAAAACAAAUUUGAGAACCCUCUUGGAUUAUAUUUUGAAAACGAUGAAGUAUAUGAAGCAUG